AGAAAACAGAUACUCAGAGAAAUCAUCUAAGCAAUUCCAAGCAUGGCAAAAUAAUCAAUCAGUUCAAGAGGUGAAUCAAAAGAAACAAAACCUCACAGAUGCACACUAUCAGUGUUUCUCUCAAGUGUCUAUGGUAAACAGUGUCAACUCAAUGCACUCAAGAAAACAAACACAAACAGACUUGGCAAGCCUCUAAUAUCAACACUCGAAACAUAUGCAUGUUCAAAUCAAAAGGUCUUUUAUGGAUGCAAUGGGGCCAAGGACAAGGGAGGAUAAAAUAUGGAUGAGAAGCUACAAACCAAAAAGAAUAGAGGAGCAAUGGGGAAUAAGUGAAAAUACAAUCAAAUCACACCCAAAACCUCUAAUUCAGUCCUCUUCUUGACUCCAUUAUUCACAAACUUUUUUUUUUUUCAUCUUGUCUCUUUUCUUUUCUCUCUUUUUAGAACACAAAUUUCAAGAGACAAGAUACACCCUAUUUACAAAACAAAA
rnacentral:lncRNA from 1 species